AAGUUGAGACAAAUGGAGGAAUGUUUGUACUGGGCCCAGGAAGUUGAGACAAAUGGAGGAAUGUUUGUACUGGGCCCAGGAAGUUGAGACAAAUGGAGGAAUGUGUUUGUACUGGGCCCAGGACUGAGAUAUAUGUUUGAUUUCUUACAGUGGAGGUUGCAGUGAGCUGAGAUCCUGACAUUGCACUCCAGCGUGGGCACAGAGUGAAACUCCGUCUUGAAAAAACAAAACAAAACUGGAGUUUUGGAAGACGGAACAUCUAAGAUGAUCACAUGUCCUACAAAAGAAACAUCUACAAAACAGCUGAUUGGCAUUGGAAACCCAGUUCUUUUUUUUUUUUUUUUUUUU
rnacentral:lncRNA from 1 species